rnacentral:rRNA from 1 species
UGGGGAAUUUUGGACAAUGGGGGAAACCCUGAUCCAGCCAUCCCGCGUGUGCGAUGAAGGCCUUCGGGUUGUAAAGCACUUUUGGCAGGAAAGAAACGUCAUGGGUUAAUACCCCGUGAAACUGACGGUACCUGCAGAAUAAGCACCGGCUAACUACGUGCCAGCAGCCGCGGUAAUACGUAGGGUGCAAGCGUUAAUCGGAAUUACUGGGCGUAAAGCGUGCGCAGGCGGUUCGGAAAGAAAGAUGUGAAAUCCCAGAGCUCAACUUUGGAACUGCAUUUUUAGCUACCGGGCUAGAGUGUGUCAGAGGGAGGUGGAAUUCCGCGUGUAGCAGUGAAAUGCGUAGAUAUGCGGAGGAACACCGAUGGCGAAGGCAGCCUCCUGGGAUAACACUGACGCUCAUGCACGAAAGCGUGGGGAGCAAACAGG